GUCAGGAUGGCCGAGAGGACUAAGGCGCUGCGUUUAGGUCGCAGUCCACUUGUGUGGGCGUGGGUGCGAAGAUCCCACUUCUGACA